rnacentral:rRNA from 1 species
UACAGAGGUCUCAAGCGUUGUUCGGAUUCAUUGGGCGUAAAGGGUGCGUAGGCGGCGCGGUAAGUCGGGUGUGAAAUCUCGGAGCUUAACUCCGAAACUGCAUUCGAUACUGCCGUGCUUGAGGACUGGAGAGGAGACUGGAAUUUACGGUGUAGCGGUGAAAUGCGUAGAUAUCGUAAGGAAGACCAGUGGCGAAGGCGGGUCUCUGGACAGUUCCUGACGCUGAGGGACGAAAGCUAGGGGAGCGAACGGG